UUCCGGUUGAUCCUGCCGGACCCUACUGCUAUCGGGGUGGGACUAAAACAUGCUAGUCGAGCGCCUCCAAGCUAUGGUGAAGGCGCGGCGAACGGCUCAGUAACACGUGGCCAACCUACCCUCAGGACGGAGACAACCCCGGGAAACUGGGGCUAAUCCCCGAUAGGUGAGGACGCCUGGAAUGACCCCUCACCCAAAGGACGUUGAAACCAUGCUUUUCAGCGUCGCCCAAGGAGGGGGCCGCGGCCGAUCAGGUUGUUGGUGAGGUAACGGCUCACCAAGCCUUUAACCGGUACGGGCCGUGAGAGCGGUAGCCCGGAGAUGGGUACUGAGACAAGGGCCCAGGCCCUACGGGGCGCAGCAGUCGCGAAAACUCACCAAUUCACGAAAGUGUGAGUGGGCCAUCCCGAGUGCCGUCCGCUGAGGAUGGCUUUUCCUUAGUGUACAAAGCUGGGGGAAUAAGGAGAGGGCAAGUCUGGUGUCAGCCGCCGCGGUAAUACCAGCUCUCCGAGUGGUGGGGAUGUUUAUUGGGCCUAAAGCAUUCGUAGCCUGCUGGGCAAGUCCUCCGUUAAAUCCAACGAUUCAAUCGUUGGGCCGCGGGGGAUACUGUUCGGCUAGGGGGCGGAAGAGGUCGACGGUAUUCUCGGGGUAGGGGUGAAAUCCUAUAAUCCCGGGAGGACCACCAGUGGCGAAGGCUGUCGGCUAGAACGCGCCCGACGGUGAGGGAUGAAAGCUGGGGGAGCGAACCGGAUUAGAUACCCGGGUAGUCCCAGCUGUAAACGAUGCAGGCUAGGUGUUGGCGCGGCUACGUGCCGCUCCAGUGCGGCAGGGAAGCCGUUAAGCCUGCCGCCUGGGGAAGUACGGCCGCAGGCUGAAACCUAAAGGAAUUGGCGGGGGGAGCACCACAAGGGUGGAAGCUUGCGGUUUAAAUUGGAGUCAACGCGGG
rnacentral:rRNA from 1 species